rnacentral:rRNA from 1 species
GAUGAACGCUGGUGGCGUGCCUAAUACAUGCAAGUCGAGCGAACAGAUAAGGAGCUUGCUCCUUUGACGUUAGCGGCGGACGGGUGAGUAACACGUGGGUAACCUACCUAUAAGACUGGAAUAACUCCGGGAAACCGGGGCUAAUGCAGGAUAACAUGUUGAACCGCAUGGUUCUACAGUGAAAGGCGGCUUUGCUGUCACUUAUAGAUGGACCCGCGCCGUAUUAGCUAGUUGGUGAGGUAACGGCUCACCAAGGCAACGAUACGUAGCCGACCUGAGAGGGUGAUCGGCCACACUGGAACUGAGACACGGUCCAGACUCCUACGGGAGGCAGCAGUAGGGAAUCUUCCGCAAUGGGCGAAAGCCUGACGGAGCAACGCCGCGUGAGUGAUGAAGGUCUUCGGAUCGUAAAACUCUGUUAUUAGGGAAGAACAAAUGCGUAAGUAACUGUGCGCGUCUUGACGGUACCUAAUCAGAAAGCCACGGCUAACUACGUG